AACGAACGCUGGCGGCAUGCCUAACACAUGCAAGUCGAACGAGACCUUCGGGUCUAGUGGCGCACGGGUGCGUAACGCGUGGGAACCUGCCCUUAGGUUCGGAAUAACUCCCCGAAAGGGGUGCUAAUACCGGAUAAUGUCUUCGGACCAAAGAUUUAUCGCCUUUGGAUGGGCCCGCGUUGGAUUAGCUAGUUGGUAGGGUAAAAGCCUACCAAGGCGACGAUCCAUAGCUGGGCUUAGAGGAUGAUCAGCCACACUUGGACUGAGACACGGACCAGACUCCUACGGGAGGCAGCAGUGGGGAAUAUUGGACCAUGGGCGAAAGGCUGAACCAGCCAUGCCGCGUGAGUGAUGAAGGCCUUAGGGUUGUAAAGCUCUUUUACCCGGGAUGAUAAUGACAGUACCGGGAGAAUAAGCCCCGGCUAACUCCGUG
rnacentral:rRNA from 1 species